rfam:Tuber melanosporum whole genome shotgun sequence assembly, scaffold_45, strain Mel28
GUGUUCGGCCAUAGAGCAAUGAAAGUUUCGCAUCCCGUCCGCUCUGCGGUAAACAAGCGUUGCAUCGCCCGGUUAGUAUUACGGUGGGUGACCACGUGAGAAUACCGGGUGCUGAACUCC